rnacentral:misc_RNA from 1 species
GAUGAAGAACGUAGCGAAAUGCGAUAAGUAAUGUGAAUUGCAGAAUUCAGUGAAUCAUCGAAUCUUUGAACGCACAUUGCGCCCGCCAGUAUUCUGGCGGGCAUGCCUGUUCGAGCGCCAUUUCAACCCUCAAGACCCCUUCGGGGGACUUGGUGUUGGGGACCGGCACAGGGGCCUGCCUGCUUGUCUUGCAGCGCCCUCGCCGCCCCCGAAAUGAAUUGGCGGCCUCGUCGCGGCCUCCCCUGCGUAGUAGCACAAACCUCGCAACGGGAACGUGACGGCGGCCACUGCCGUAAAACAACCCAAUUUUAUUAGAGUUGACCUCGAAUCAGGUAGGAAUACCCGCUGAACUUAAGCAUAUCAAUAAGCGGAGGA